UCAGUUAUUCCCCUGCAGCUCGGGGAGGCAAUCAACAACUCUCCUUUGGGUGCAUUUUGCAAACUCACUGUGCCUUCUAGAAAUCAAGCCCUGGCGCUGUGACUUACCGUGCUCUUUUUACUGGUCAUUUUGAGACACUGAAUUGCUGCCACAAAGAUGUAAGACACUGAUAUACUGUGAAGACAGCCAGCCCAAAAUGAGUCUGUGUAUUGUUUCCUGCAGACGGCUUUUAAACAGGUCUCUGCAGCCUCUUUUGUGGUUUCAGGCUCUGCUCAGCAUUUAGUAGCUUCUGCUUUAGUACUGCUAUGAACUAUCUUUAAGGAGGGAAAAAACACUGUAAUUUUUCUUCUGAGCAGUAUUUUGUAGGGGCUCAGAGUGGUGUUUGGAGCACGAGGCAGGGCCACCCCAGCUGUGCCAGAUGUGCACCUUCCCAGCUGGAGUCAAGCAGAGCUUAACCCCUGGCAGAGGUCAGAGCCCUGCUCUGGGACUUACUCAGCACCCAGGGUCUCCAGAGCCACUUCCAGAGGUGAGGACCCUCCCCUGAGUGCCUUUGCAGCCACUCUCCUGCUCCUCAGCUCUCCCCUGUGUGCUGCAGCCCUCCCCAGCACUGCUCUGCAGAGGUCACCAGGUAAUUCACUGAUCCACUGGGCUACCAAAGUACUGCAACAGGCAGAAAAUGCAGCUCUUCAACCUCACCUCUUUAUAAGAUGUUUUGUGUUGGGUUUUUUUAGCCUUAAUUAAAUGUUUGUGCAUUCAGCAGCUCAGACCAUUCCUGGUCCCAGUGUUUUUUGUUUCCAAGAGAAAAGGUAUUUGCACUCUAAUAUGCAGAGUGGAAAUUUUCUAUUGCAUAGUAAAUUUAUCAAAAAGUAAAAUGAAAGUCAAUUGAUCUUUAGGGAACAGGAAAUACCCACCAAUUAUGACUGAAUUUAGUGAAGUGUUUAAUCCAAAAGACAUGGAAUUUAAAGUUUAGAAAAACUCAAUGCAUUUAAUUUCUGUUUGAUUCAAACCAAGUUUUGUCCCUAUUUCCUUCCUGCACUAAAAAAAAAAUAUAUCUGUUUCAGUUUGGCCCAAUCUUUCCUGCCUCUUACCCUUCCCACACCAGUCGGUGUGAUCCCCAAACUGGAGCCCAGAGUCCACCCAACUUGUUGAGCUUACAGCUCAAAACAUUCUACAGAAAUUAUUUCAGUUGCACUGGAUCCGUGCUGGAUUCCUGCAGCUGGAACAGAGCAGAACUGCACAUCACACAUUUACAGGCAUGAAAUCCACGGCUUUAAUCUCAUGUUUCCUAAUGCUAAAUAACUCCAGUCGUUGACAGCUAACUCCAAAGAGAGGGUCAGUAAAAGCUAAAUAUGUCGAUGGCUGUGUCUUUAUUUUGGCUUUUCUGUAUGGUUUUCUCCUAGCCUUUUCUGCACUGCUCUGUCUUACAGCUGUGCAAAUAUUUGGGCUUUUCUUGGCCUGAAAAUUAUUUUUUUCCCCUGAAAGACCCUGUAGACAGAGCCCUUGGGAGGUACAGAGGAGAUGGACUAGAAAAGUACUGUGAUAACAGUGUUCAGAGUUUCUAUUGUGUGCGGACAAUGUAUUUAAGCAUAUUUUUAUACUGGACCAUAUGAGUUCUUUUGGUUUUGGUUUGUUUCUUUGGUUUGCUUUUGGUUUUUUUAUACUGUGACCACAAAUAUACAUUGAAACCCUCCUUGAUCAUUUUCUAAUCAUUGUAUGACACACAUUCACAAAGUUCUGUGAAUGAACCAGACAACAUAUAAAAGUUUGUUGGUUUUUUUUUUUUAAUCUUAAUUUUUAAGAGUAUUCCCCUCUGCACAAUUUUUGUUACCUGCAUUUCCUCCUGUGCUGUAUUGGUCCUUUUGUGACCAAGCAAGGUCCCUUUGGAAAAAGCCCCAACAAGAGACACACCACUGACACUGCAGGGUGGCAGUGGCACAGAGGGCUGAGGCAGUUUUCAUCAGGCAUGCUCUGGUUUAAAAUUGCUCACCAAACCUAAGACAAGCAGGAAAGCUUGGUUUGGUUUUCUACUUCUGAAAGGGACGGGGCAGUGCUGUGAGGGAGCACUGGUGACCCCUGGGAUCCUCUGUGCAUGCAGGGUCCUGCUGCACCUGAACGGGGCUGGGAUGAAGCAGUUUUAUUUUGUUCAUGGCCCAUGAGGAUUGGAGCACGGAUUUAUCACACUGCACUGGGCAUGGGGCUCCUUCUGGUUUUGAUAAACUGCUGAAAAUCCUCACAAAGUACAAACGUGUUCCUUUGCCAUCGAUAUCCAUUUUUUUUGUUUGAUUCGAAGUGUUUUUCUUGGUACUGAAUGCAGCAAAUGUACUGAAUAAGAAAUGCUCAAAUGAAUCUUUAAACAAUCUCUUUCUGUCCUCACUCUCUUGAAGCUUGAAAAUCUUGCAGUUUAUUUAUGGGCUUGUAUAUAGCAGCUAUUACAAUUUUUUUUUUUGGGACAGCAUCAUUUUGUCAACAGUAUGAAAUCUUAAUUGAAUGAAAUGUGAGUUUUAAAAAUAGGUAAUGUAGCAAGAAUGACUUUGCCAGUAAUUAGUAAAAUAAUUUAGUUUUGUUGUUUUUUUCCCCUCAAAUAAAUAAGAAAUCUUAAUUUCCUAAAAGGACUUU
rnacentral:lncRNA from 1 species